UACGUAGGGUGCGAGCGUUAAUCGGAAUUACUGGGCGUAAAGCGUGCGCAGGCGGUUCGUUGUGUCCGUCGUGAAAGCCCCGGGCUCAACCUGGGAACUCGUUGAUACGGUGGUCUAGAGGUUCGGGAGAGGAGAGCGGAGUACCUCAGUGUAGAGGUGAAAUUCGUAGAUAUUGGGAAGAACACCGGUGGCGAAGGCGGCGCUCUGGGACCGAGACUGACGCUGAGGCGCGAAAGCGUGGGGAGCA
rnacentral:rRNA from 1 species